rnacentral:rRNA from 1 species
AGCGUACACGGUGGAUGCCCUGGCAGUCAGAGGCGAUGAAGGACGUGCUAAUCUGCGAUAAGCGUCGGUAAGGUGAUAUGAACCGUUAUAACCGGCGAUUUCCGAAUGGGGAAACCCAGUGUGUUUCGACACACUAUCAUUAACUGAAUCCAUAGGUUAAUGAGGCGAACCGGGGGAACUGAAACAUCUAAGUACCCCGAGGAAAAGAAAUCAACCGAGAUUCCCCCAGUAGCGGCGAGCGAACGGGGAGCAGCCCAGAGCCUGAAUCAGUGUGUGUGUUAGUGGAAGCGUCUGGAAAGGCGCGCGAUACAGGGUGACAGCCCCGUACACAAAAAUGCACAUGCUGUGAGCUCGAUGAGUAGGGCGGGACACGUGGUAUCCUGUCUGAAUAUGGGGGGACCAUCCUCCAAGGCUAAAUACUCCUGACUGACCGAUAGUGAACCAGUACCGUGAGGGAAAGGCGAAAAGAACCCCGGCGAGGGGAGUGAAAAAGAACCUGAAACCGUGUACGUACAAGCAGUGGGAGCACGCUUAGGCGUGUGACUGCGUACCUUUUGUAUAAUGGGUCAGCGACUUAUAUUCUGUAGCAAGGUUAACCGAAUAGGGGAGCCGAAGGGAAACCGAGUCUUAACUGGGCGUUAAGUUGCAGGGUAUAGACCCGAAACCCGGUGAUCUAGCCAUGGGCAGGUUGAAGGUUGGGUAACACUAACUGGAGGACCGAACCGACUAAUGUUGAAAAAUUAGCGGAUGACUUGUGGCUGGGGGUGAAAGGCCAAUCAAACCGGGAGAUAGCUGGUUCUCCCCGAAAGCUAUUUAGGUAGCGCCUCGUGAAUUCAUCUCCGGGGGUAGAGCACUGUUUCGGCAAGGGGGUCAUCCCGACUUACCAACCCGAUGCAAACUGCGAAUACCGGAGAAUGUUAUCACGGGAGACACACGGCGGGUGCUAACGUCCGUCGUGAAGAGGGAAACAACCCAGACCGCCAGCUAAGGUCCCAAAGUCAUGGUUAAGUGGGAAACGAUGUGGGAAGGCCCAGACAGCCAGGAUGUUGGCUUAGAAGCAGCCAUCAUUUAAAGAAAGCGUAAUAGCUCACUGGUCGAGUCGGCCUGCGCGGAAGAUGUAACGGGGCUAAACCAUGCACCGAAGCUGCGGCAGCGACGCUNNNNNNNNNNNNNNNNNNNNNNNNNNNNNNNNNNNNNNNNNNNNNNNNNNNNNNNCAUGCUGGAGGUAUCAGAAGUGCGAAUGCUGACAUAAGUAACGAUAAAGCGGGUGAAAAGCCCGCUCGCCGGAAGACCAAGGGUUCCUGUCCAACGUUAAUCGGGGCAGGGUGAGUCGACCCCUAAGGCGAGGCCGAAAGGCGUAGUCGAUGGGAAACAGGUUAAUAUUCCUGUACUUGGUGUUACUGCGAAGGGGGGACGGAGAAGGCUAUGUUGGCCGGGCGACGGUUGUCCCGGUUUAAGCGUGUAGGCUGGUUUUCCAGGCAAAUCCGGAAAAUCAAGGCUGAGGCGUGAUGACGAGGCACUACGGUGCUGAAGCAACAAAUGCCCUGCUUCCAGGAAAAGCCUCUAAGCAUCAGGUAACAUCAAAUCGUACCCCAAACCGACACAGGUGGUCAGGUAGAGAAUACCAAGGCGCUUGAGAGAACUCGGGUGAAGGAACUAGGCAAAAUGGUGCCGUAACUUCGGGAGAAGGCACGCUGAUAUGUAGGUGAAGUCCCUCGCGGAUGGAGCUGAAAUCAGUCGAAGAUACCAGCUGGCUGCAACUGUUUAUUAAAAACACAGCACUGUGCAAACACGAAAGUGGACGUAUACGGUGUGACGCCUGCCCGGUGCCGGAAGGUUAAUUGAUGGGGUCAGCGCAAGCGAAGCUCUUGAUCGAAGCCCCGGUAAACGGCGGCCGUAACUAUAACGGUCCUAAGGUAGCGAAAUUCCUUGUCGGGUAAGUUCCGACCUGCACGAAUGGCGUAAUGAUGGCCAGGCUGUCUCCACCCGAGACUCAGUGAAAUUGAACUCGCUGUGAAGAUGCAGUGUACCCGCGGCAAGACGGAAAGACCCCGUGAACCUUUACUAUAGCUUGACACUGAACAUUGAGCCUUGAUGUGUAGGAUAGGUGGGAGGCUUUGAAGUGUGGACGCCAGUCUGCAUGGAGCCGACCUUGAAAUACCACCCUUUAAUGUUUGAUGUUCUAACGUUGACCCGUGAUCCGGGUUGCGGACAGUGUCUGGUGGGUAGUUUGACUGGGGCGGUCUCCUCCUAAAGAGUAACGGAGGAGCACGAAGGUUGGCUAAUCCUGGUCGGACAUCAGGAGGUUAGUGCAAUGGCAUAAGCCAGCUUGACUGCGAGCGUGACGGCGCGAGCAGGUGCGAAAGCAGGUCAUAGUGAUCCGGUGGUUCUGAAUGGAAGGGCCAUCGCUCAACGGAUAAAAGGUACUCCGGGGAUAACAGGCUGAUACCGCCCAAGAGUUCAUAUCGACGGCGGUGUUUGGCACCUCGAUGUCGGCUCAUCACAUCCUGGGGCUGAAGUAGGUCCCAAGGGUAUGGCUGUUCGCCAUUUAAAGUGGUACGCGAGCUGGGUUUAGAACGUCGUGAGACAGUUCGGUCCCUAUCUGCCGUGGGCGCUGGAGAACUGAGGGGGGCUGCUCCUAGUACGAGAGGACCGGAGUGGACGCAUCACUGGUGUUCGGGUUGUCAUGCCAAUGGCACUGCCCGGUAGCUAAAUGCGGAAGAGAUAAGUGCUGAAAGCAUCUAAGCACGAAACUUGCCCCGAGAUGAGUUCUCCCUGACUCCUUGA